rnacentral:rRNA from 1 species
GAUGAACGCUGGCGGCGUGCCUAAUACAUGCAAGUCGAGCGAACAGACGAGGAGCUUGCUCCUCUGACGUUAGCGGCGGACGGGUGAGUAACACGUGGAUAACCUACCUAUAAGACUGGGAUAACUUCGGGAAACCGGAGCUAAUACCGGAUAAUAUAUUGAACCGCAUGGUUCAAUAGUGAAAGACGGUUUUGCUGUCACUUAUAGAUGGAUCCGCGCCGCAUUAGCUAGUUGGUAAGGUAACGGCUUACCAAGGCAACGAUGCGUAGCCGACCUGAGAGGGUGAUCUGCCACACUGGAACUGAGACACGGUCCAGACUCCUACGGUAGGCAGCAGUAGGGAAUCUUCCGCAAUGGGCGAAAGCCUGACGGAGCACCGCCGCGUGAGUGAUGAAGGUCUUCGGAUCGUAAAACUCUGUUAUUAGGGAAGAACAAAUGUGUAAGUAACUAUGCACGUCUUGACGGUACCUAAUCAGAAAGCCACGGCUAACUACGUG